rnacentral:rRNA from 1 species
UAGGGAAUCUUCCGCAAUGGACGCAAGUCUGAUGGAGCAACGCCGCGUGAGUGAAGAAGGUCUUCGGAUCGUAAAACUCUGUUGUUAGAGAAGAACACGAGUGAGAGUAACUGUUCAUUCGAUGACGGUAUCUAACCAGCAAGUCACGGCUAACUACGUGCCAG